GACGAACGCUGGCGGCGUGCUUAACACAUGCAAGUCGAACGGAAAGGCCCUGCUUUUGUGGGGUGCUCGAGUGGCGAACGGGUGAGUAACACGUGAGUAACCUGCCCUUGACUUUGGGAUAACUUCAGGAAACUGGGGCUAAUACCGGAUAGGAGCUCCUGCUGCAUGGUGGGGGUUGGAAAGUUUCGGCGGUUGGGGAUGGACUCGCGGCUUAUCAGCUUGUUGGUGGGGUAGUGGCUUACCAAGGCUUUGACGGGUAGCCGGCCUGAGAGGGUGACCGGCCACAUUGGGACUGAGAUACGGCCCAGACUCCUACGGGAGGCAGCAGUGGGGAAUAUUGCACAAUGGGCGGAAGCCUGAUACAGCAACGCCGCGUGCGGGAUGACGGCCUUCGGGUUGUAAACCGCUUUCGCCUGUGACGAAGCGUGAGUGACGGUAAUGGGUAAAGAAGCACCGGCUAACUACGUG
rnacentral:rRNA from 1 species